rnacentral:rRNA from 1 species
UGGGGAAUAUUGGACAAUGGGCGAAAGCCUGAUCCAGCCAUGCCGCGUGUGUGAAGAAGGUCUUCGGAUUGUAAAGCACUUUAAGUUGGGAGGAAGGGCAGUUACCUAAUACGUGAUUGUUUUGACGUUACCGACAGAAUAAGCACCGGCUAACUCUGUGCCAGCAGCCGCGGUAAUACAGAGGGUGCAAGCGUUAAUCGGAAUUACUGGGCGUAAAGCGCGCGUAGGUGGUUAGUUAAGUUGGAUGUGAAAUCCCCGGGCUCAACCUGGGAACUGCAUUCAAAACUGACAAGCUAGAGUAUGGUAGAGGGUGGUGGAAUUUCCUGUGUAGCGGUGAAAUGCGUAGAUAUAGGAAGGAACACCAGUGGCGAAGGCGACCACCUGGACUGAUACUGACACUGAGGUGCGAAAGCGUGGGGAGCAAACAGGAUUAGAUACCCUAGUAGUCCCUGAGCGGGCUGGCAAGGCGCAU